CCUGGAAAUGAAGCAAACACAUUUCCAUUUUUACACGUAGGCAAAUUUUCUGCUCUGUUAUAUGCAUUGACACGGCAGCUCGUCCAUUGCCUGGCCGUAAAGGCAGCCACAAAAUUAAAUAAGUCCAGGCACACAUUCAAGAGGGACUAUUCCACUGAGGCCGCAACUAACAAGCACAUUGACAGUCGUUAAAAGAGGACAAUGACAACGGGGACAACUACCGAGCUGGCAGUCAGGAUGCGAGAGAGACUAACAACGUUUUAUAUAUUUAUGAGCCUUAGAAAGAACUACAACAACUAACUUGGGAGUCGAACCCUGAAAUUUGAGGGGCAGCUGCCUGAAUGUCUGAUUCAAUUAGAAGUUUUAUCGAAGGAGAACUGCGAAUGUCGCCAAAAUAAUGUCUAAAGAUCCUUGAAAUCUAAAAUGCAUUAUAUUUCAUAAUAUUACUUAAAGUCCUUGAUAAAAGAUCUUUUGACUAUA